GGGACACGUGGUAUCCUGUCUGAAUAUGGGGGGACCAUCCUCCAAGGCUAAAUACUCCUGACUGACCGAUAGUGAACCAGUACCGUGAGGGAAAGGCGAAAAGAACCCCGGCGAGGGGAGUGAAAAAGAACCUGAAACCGUGUACGUACAAGCAGUGGGAGCACGCUUAGGCGUGUGACUGCGUACCUUUUGUAUAAUGGGUCAGCGACUUAUAUUCUGUAGCAAGGUUAACCGAAUAGGGGAGCCGAAGGGAAACCGAGUCUUAACUGGGCGUUAAGUUGCAGGGUAUAGACCCGAAACCCGGUGAUCUAGCCAUGGGCAGGUUGAAGGUUGGGUAACACUAACUGGAGGACCGAACCGACUAAUGUUGAAAAAUUAGCGGAUGACUUGUGGCUGGGGGUGAAAGGCCAAUCAAACCGGGAGAUAGCUGGUUCUCCCCGAAAGCUAUUUAGGUAGCGCCUCGUGAAUUCAUCUCCGGGGGUAGAGCACUGUUUCGGCAAGGGGGUCAUCCCGACUUACCAACCCGAUGCAAACUGCGAAUACCGGAGAAUGUUAUCACGGGAGACACACGGCGGGUGCUAACGUCCGUCGUGAAGAGGGAAACAACCCAGACCGCCAGCUAAGGUCCCAAAGUCAUGGUUAAGUGGGAAACGAUGUGGGAAGGCCCAGACAGCCAGGAUGUUGGCUUAGAAGCAGCCAUCAUUUAAAGAAAGCGUAAUAGCUCACUGGUCGAGUCGGCCUGCGCGGAAGAUGUAACGGGGCUAAACCAUGCACCGAAGCUGCGGCAGCGACGCUUAUGCGUUGUUGGGUAGGGGAGCGUUCUGUAAGCCUGCGAAGGUGUGCUGUGAGGCAUGCUGGAGGUAUCAGAAGUGCGAAUGCUGACAUAAGUAACGAUAAAGCGGGUGAAAAGCCCGCUCGCCGGAAGACCAAGGGUUCCUGUCCAACGUUAAUCGGGGCAGGGUGAGUCGACCCCUAAGGCGAGGCCGAAAGGCGUAGUCGAUGGGAAAC
rnacentral:rRNA from 1 species